rnacentral:rRNA from 1 species
GACGAAGGGGCCAAGCGUUGUCCGGAUUUACUGGGCGUAAAGAGCGUGUAGGCGGGUCGUUAAGUGUGAAGUGAAAUCUCCAGGGCUCAACCCGGAAACUGCUUUACAUACUGGCGAGCUGGAGUGAUGAAGAGGUUUGUGGAAUUCCUGGUGUAGCGGUGAAAUGCGUUGAUAUCAGGAGGAACACCCAUGGCGAAGGCAGCAAACUGGUCAUCAACUGACGCUGAGGCGCGAAAGCGUGGGUAGCAAACAGG